rnacentral:rRNA from 1 species
UACGUAGGGUGCAAGCGUUGUCCGGAAUUUAUUGGGCGUAAAGAGCUCGUAGGCGGUUUGUCGCGUCCGUUGUGAAAACUCGAGCUCAACCUCGAGACGCCGGUGGAAACCAUCUAGCUAGAGUCCGGAAGAGGAGAGUGGAAUUCCUGGUGUAGCGGUGAAAUGACGCAGAUAUCAGGAAGAACACCCGUGGCGAAGGCGGCUCUCUGGUACGUGACUGACGCUGAGACGCGAAAGCGUGGGGAGCGAACAGG